rnacentral:rRNA from 1 species
UACGUAGGUGGCAAGCGUUGUCCGGAGUUAUUGGGCGUAAAGCGCGCGCAGGCGGUGCGGUAAGUCUCUGGUGAAAGCGCUCGGCUUAACUGGGCGAGGGCCGGGGAGACUGCCACGCUGGAGGGGAGCAGAGGCGAGUGGAAUUCCGGGUGUAGUGGUGAAAGUGCGUAGAGAGUCCGGAGGAACACCAGUGGCGAAGGCGGCUCGCUGGGCUCGUACCGUGACGCGUGAGGCGGCGAAAAGCGUGGGGAGCGAACCGG